rnacentral:rRNA from 1 species
GAAUAUUGGGCAAUGGUCGGAGGACUGACCCAGCCAUGCCGCGUGCAGGAAGAAGGCCUUCUGGGUUGUAAACUGCUUUUAUCUAGGAAGAAAACGCCCAUGCGUGGGAAACUGACGGUACUAGAUGAAUAAGCACCGGCUAACUCCGUGCCAGCAGCCGCGGUAAUACGGAGGGUGCAAGCGUUGUCCGGAUUUAUUGGGUUUAAAGGGUGCGUAGGCGGCCUUUUAAGUCAGUGGUGAAAGCCAACAGCUCAACUGUUGAACUGCCAUUGAUACUGAAAGGCUUGAGUACAGACGAGGUAGGCGGAAUUGAUGGUGUAGCGGUGAAAUGCAUAGAUACCAUCAAGAACACCGAUUGCGUAGGCAGCUUACUAGGCUGUAACUGACGCUGAGGCACGAAAGCGUGGGGAGCGAACAGG